rnacentral:rRNA from 1 species
UGCAGAGGGUGCGAGCGUUGUCCGGAAUCACUGGGCGUAAAGGGCGCGUAGGUGGCGACCCAAGUCGAUGGUGAAAGCUCGCCGCUCAACGGCGAGUCGGCCACCGAUACUGGGUUGCUGGAGCACUGUAGAGGCUCAUGGAAUUCCGGGUGUAGCGGUGGAAUGCGUAGAGAUCCGGAAGAACACCGGUGGCGAAGGCGGUGAGCUGGGCAGUUGCUGACACUGAGGCGCGGACAGCGUGGGGAGCAAACAGG